rnacentral:rRNA from 1 species
CAAUGGGCGGAAGCCUGAACCAGCCAUGCCGCGUGGCAGGAAGACGGCCCUACGGGUUGUAAACUGGUUUUAUACCGGAAUAAACCUCGAUACGUGUAUCGAGCUGAAUGUACGGUAAGAAUAAGGAUCGGCUAACUCCGUGCCAGCAGCCGGGUAAUACGGAGGAUCCAAGCGUUAUCCGGAU